rnacentral:rRNA from 1 species
UAGGGAAUCUUCCACAAUGGACGCAAGUCUGAUGGAGCAACGCCGCGUGAGUGAAGAAGGUUUUCGGACCGUAAAGCUCUGUUGUUGGUGAAGAAGGAUAGAGGUAGUAACUGGCCUUUAUUUGACGGUAAUCAACCAGAAAGUCACGGCUAACUACGUGCCAGCAGCCGCGGUAAUACGUAGGUGGCAAGCGUUGUCCGGAUUUAUUGGGCGUAAAGCGAGCGCAGGCGGAAGAAUAAGUCUGAUGUGAAAGCCCUCGGCUUAACCGAGGAAUUGCAUCGGAAACUGUUUUUCUUGAGUGCAGAAGAGGAGAGUAGAACUCCAUGUGUAGCGGUGGAAUGCGUAGAUAUAUGGAAGAAUACCAGUGGCGAAGGCGGCUCUCUGGUCUGCAACUGACGCUGAGGCUCGAAAGCAUGGGUAGCGAACAGGAUUAGAUACCCUGGU